UUUACUUUAUUUUUCACAUUUUGAGCCAUAUAUUUUCUUUGUAAUUGUGAAAUAACUCUGUAAACUCGUAAAAUUUAUCACUUACAGUUAUUUCAUAAUUAUUUAUCUUGAAGUAUAAACAUUUAUCUUGAAAAGACCAAGUUCCUCUUGUUUUCUCAAGAGUUAACGUUUUUAAUGUUAAUUCGCGGGCAAACAAGAUGUUUUAAUGUUGUGUUUAUUCACUUGUGUUGAACACAAUGUUAAUUGUUCUCUUUGUGCCAUGUUCUGUUUUCUUCUAUUGUUAUUUAAAUAAGUACAGUAAUGCAGUGGUUGUUCUCUUUUUAUUGUUAUUCAAAUUGUAAAAUUUACAAGUUCUUUUCAAUAAAUUGUUCAUUAAUUAUACAAGUGACUCCUUUUUAAUUAAAAGUUCAAUUCCCAUGGGAAUUGAAAAAAAAAAUAAAAAAAAUCCCCCUACCCCGGCCGGCUCCCCAAGUGCUACCUCUACUUCAAGCAGAAGCACUUCUACUAUGUAGUAGAAGUACUUCUACUUAAAGUAGAGGUAGCACUCGGAGAGCCAGCCGGGGUAGCGGGGCGAAGAGAAGACCAACCUUGCAAAUGCUAAUGCAAAUUGCUAAAUUGAUCUUCUCUUGAGAGCAGCCACGCGCAUACCUAGCAAAUAUGUAAAACAACAAACGUUAGUAACAAAUACUUAAAGCAUGCAAAUUUGAAUCCCAUGGCCGAAAAUGACAAGUGCCCCCCACUGAUUCCUACCAACUGCCUACCUGCCUCAGUCCUAAGCUGUCUGCCUCAGUCCUAAGCUGUCUGCCUCGGUCCUAAGCUACCUGCAUUCCAUUCGUAACUUCCGCUUUCCUCGCCAUCACACACACACUCACAACUGCCCAACCUGCCACCAGCCCGAACUGCCCACCCUUCAAAAACUGAAGGAAUUAAAAUUUCGGUAAAGCAUACAUAAUUAAU
rnacentral:lncRNA from 1 species